UCCAGAGUUUGAUGCAGACCUGGAGGAGGAUGUAACAGGAGACACGUCAGGUCACUUCAGGAGACUGCUGGUCAUCCUGCUACAGGCCAGCAGACAGCAGGGGGUACAGGAGGGGAACAUAGAGGCUGACGCACAGGUCGGUAUUGUGGAGUAACUACAAUGUUGUUGAUCCAUCCUCAGUUUUCUCCUAUCACAGCCAUUAAACUCUGUAACUGUUUUAAAGUCACCAUUGGCCUCCUGGUUAAAUCUCUGAGAGGUUUCUUUCCUCUCCGGCAACUGAGUUAGGAAGGACGCCUGUAUCUUUGUAGUGACUGGGAGUAUUGAUACACCACCCAAAGUGUAAUUAAUAAAUUCACUAUGCUCAAA